rnacentral:rRNA from 1 species
UACGAAGGGUGCGAGCGUUGUUCGGAAUGACUGGGCGUAAAGGGUUCGUAGGCGGGAACUUAAGUCAAGUGUGAAAUCCCUAGGCUCAACCUAGGACGUGCACCUGAAACUGGGUUUCUUGAGUACUUGAGAGGGUGGUGGAAUUGCUGGUGUAGGAGUGACAUCCGUAGAGAUCAGGAGGAACACCGGUGGCGAAGGCGGGUCUCUGGGCAGUAACUGACGCUGAGGAGCGAAAGCGUGGGGAGCGAACAGG